CAGAAAGAGUACUUCAAGCAAUAUGAAGUAGGGCUCCAAAACCUGUGCAAUUCCUACCAGAGCCGUGCUGACUCCCGGGCCAAGGCGUCCGAGGAAAGCCUGCGUACCUCCGAGAGGAAGCUCCGCGAGACGGAGGAGAAGCUGCAGAAGCUGAGGACCAACAUCGUGGCACUCCUGCAAAAGGUGCAGGAGGACAUAGACAUCAACACAGAUGAUGAGCUGGACGCCUACAUUGAGGACCUCAUCACCAAGGGGGACUGAAGGCGGGAGAGAGAGCAGCUCCCCUGCCCACCUGCCCUUCAACCCUGUAGCUGCAGGGGGAGGGGGCUUCAUUCAUGGGUUGGUGGUCGCACCUUGGUUUGACUUACAGGGGACAUUUGUGUUUUUGGAGGGAAAGAUACCCUGAUUCUUUGAAUCUUCCUCCUUAAGUUUAUAAAUAUUUAUUUUUUAAAAGAA